rnacentral:lncRNA from 1 species
GCGUGCGCACAGGACGGGACGGGAGGGCGGAGCGACUGCGCAGAUCAGGAAAAUUGUCACCUCUGGCCUCAGGGAAACUGAGGCUCUGAGCAGUUAAGAGGCCAACGAUCCAGGUUUAUGCUAUCAGUGUCUGAGAUACAAUUAAGUCACCUUUUUGGGUGACAUUUCCCUUGACUAGUACCUCAAGAUUAUGAUCCAGGUGGACCAUCCCUCCAUUGCCUCCAGACAUGUCUAUGACGCUACCUAGGGAUUGUGAAGAUUUACCACCUGGUGGAAAAUUAAAAAAAAAAAGACUUAUUCUGCAAAUUGACCAAGCUUAAGAGAUACAGCACUGAGAAUUCACCCACUACAGAGCUGGUAACCAGGCCUUCAGAGUAAGCUGUGAUGUAUAGCCAUUCUCCUCAGCAGCCUGUUUGACUGAGGGAUAUAGGAAUGACUGCCCUUACCCAUGUUUUUGUUCAGAUUUAUGGUUCUAAAUCUGAUGGAAAAUCUAUCAUUGGACCAUUUGAUUCUUCCUAAAGAAAGGCCAAACCACCUGUCAAACCCACGAGCAACACAGCAAUGGCUAAGCUGAAGAAGCCAAGUUAUAUGUCUAGCUCCUCUGUGGGUGGCAGGAUCCAGCUGUGGGGAGUCCAAGGUUCCUUGUGUUCUUCUGGCUUGACUAUGAUAUUUCCAAUUUGGAGGCACAAAGAAUUGAGAACUUGGGGAUCCACUGAGGUCUGAGGCAUGGUGGUACCAGAAGAAAUAAAGGGGCCAUCAGCAUGAAGCUGGUCUCCCAUUGACAGCACCCUGACUUCUCCAUCAGGUUCUAUCAGCAUGUCUACUGUGAGGUUGGUGACGCUGUCUGCAGAGGUCAGAAGAGGGCUUCGGAUCCACUGGCGCUGAACUGAUACAUGCUUCUGAGCCUUGAUAUGGGCGCUGGGAACUGAACCUGGGUCCUCUACAAGAACAAUGGACUUUAAGGAAGGAUCUGAACGCCAGCCAGUGCCGCAUGAUGCUCCUGAGAUCUUCCAUUCUUCCAAGAACAACCAUAGCAUAUACAAGACAGCACACCACCGUCGCCACCGCCAGUGCCGCUGUACUGGUGGGAUACAUACACUUUCCAGCUUGUGAAUCGGGAGGCACACUUUCAAACAAAAACACUCUGUACAGCCUCAAGAGAAGGCUGCCUGCAACUGCUAGAGGUGGAGACACCACACAUGCUAUCGCAGUCCUUGGGUAAUAACUGUGUGUCAUAAAUAGGAUGUGGCAUUUCAGAAUGUCUUUAAAGCUAUUUCCUUUUGUUCAACUAAUUUAAUUUACCAAAUGCUCCUGGGGAAAGGGAGGGGGAUCAAGAUGCUGACUCCACAUUUCCUGGGGGGGGGGGGGGAGAAUCACCAUUUCCUU